rnacentral:rRNA from 1 species
CUGCCAGUAGUUAUAUGCUUGUCUCAAAGAUUAAGCCAUGCAAGUGUAAGUUCAUCUCUGUUGAGAGAAACUGUGAAUGGCUCAUUAAUCCAGAUAAGAAUUACGCAAGCUUCGUAAGUCAUGGAUAACUGUGGCAACCCUAGAGCUAAUACAAUUGAAAGUACCAGAUUUUAGGAGAUGGUUUCAGGUAUUAGAUAUAAAAUCUUGAGAAUCCACGAUUCUUCAUUUAGGGUGAGACAUUUUACUUAAGAAAUCUGCGCACGUAGAUAUUUGCUCAUAUGUCUGACCUAUCAGCUGAAGAUGGUAGGGUUGUGGCCUACCAUGGCAUUGACGGGUAACGGGGAAUUAGGGUUCUACUCCGGAGAGGCAGCCUGAGAAACGGCUACCACAUCUAAGGAAGGCAGCAGGCGCGUAAAUUACCCAAUCCUUACACAGGGAGGUAGUGACAAGAAAUAACAAUAUGUGAGAGGUAUCUCACGUAAUUGGAAUGACUUGACUGUAAAAAUGUCAGGGAGUACCAAUUGGAGGGCAAGUCUGGUGCCAGCAGCCGCGGUAAUUCCAGCUCCAAUAGCGUAUGCUAAAGUUGUUGCGGUUAAAACGCUCGUAGUUGUAUGUUCCUCCAGGGCAUUUGGGGAUAUCUUAUAGAUGUUUCUGAAUGGUUUGUGAAAUUAUCCUGUUACGCAAGUUCCCUUGGGAGUGUGCGGGAAAGGAUACUUGUACCUUGAAGAAACUAAAGUGCUUCAAGCAGAUUUAUGUCUGAAUAUUAUAGCAUGGAAUAGUCCGAGAAGACACUGGUUUCAUUAGAGAUUUGUAGAACAAGUGUAAUAAUUAAGAGGAACAGACGGGGACAUUCAUAUUCGCAUGUGAGAGGUGGAAUUCUUGGAUCUCGCGAAGGUGGACCACUGCGAAAGCAUUUGUCAUGGAUGUUUUCAUUAAUCAAGAACGAAAGUUAGGGGAUCGAAGACGAUUAGAUACCGUCCUAGUCUUAACCAUAAACUAUGCCUUUUGGAGAUCAGAUGAACCUCGAUUGUAGAGGAUUCUGGCAUCCUAGGGGAAACUAAAAUUUUUGGGUUCCGGGGGGAGUAUGGUCGCAAGACUGAAACUUAAAGGAAUUGACGGAAGGGCACCACCAGGAGUGGAGCUUGCGGCUUAAUUUGACUCAACGCGAGAAAUCUCACCAGGUCCAGACAUGGGAAGGAUUGACAGAGAAGCAGCUCUUUCUCGAUUAUAUGGGUGGUGGUGCAUGGCCGUUCUCAGUUGGUGGGGUGAUCUGUCUGGUUGAUUCCGAUAACGAACGAGACCUCGGCCUACUAAAUAAGCGACACUUUACAGUAAGUGGCGGUUUCUUAGGGGGACUUUUCGUGACUAAUGAAAGGAAGUACGAGGCUAUAACAGGUCUGUGAUGCCCUUAGAUGUUCUGGGCUGCACGCGCGCUACACUGACAUAGAUAGAGAGGUUCUCCGAUCCGAGAGGAGGGGAGAAACUUGCGAGGAUAUGUCGUGAUGGGGAUAGUUUAUUGCAAUUUUUGAACUUCAACGAGGAAUUCCUAGUAAGCGUACGGAAUGAUCUUACGCUGAUUACGUCCCUGCCCUUUGUACACACCGCCCGUCGCUCCUACCGAUUGAGUUGUCCGGUAAAUUAUGUGGAUGGGA